GACGAACGCUGGCGGCGUGCUUAACACAUGCAAGUCGAACGGAAAGGCCCUGCUUUUGUGGGGUGCUCGAGUGGCGAACGGGUGAGUAACACGUGAGUAACCUGCCCUUGACUUUGGGAUAACUUCAGGAAACUGGGGCUAAUACCGGAUAGGAGCUCCUGCUGCAUGGUGGGGGUUGGAAAGUUUCGGCGGUUGGGGAUGGACUCGCGGCUUAUCAGCUUGUUGGUGGGGUAGUGGCUUACCAAGGCUUUGACGGGUAGCCGGCCUGAGAGGGUGACCGGCCACCUUGGGACUGAGGUACGGCCCAGACUCCUACGGGAGGCAGCAGUGGGGAAUAUUGCACAAUGGGCGGAAGCCUGAUGCAGCAACGCCGCGUGCGGGAUGGCGGCCUUCGGGUUGUAAACCGCUUUCGCCUGUGACGAAGCGUGAGUGACGGUAAUGGGUAAAGAAGCACCGGCUAACUACGUG
rnacentral:rRNA from 1 species